AUGCACGCUGGCGGCGUGCCUAAUACAUGCAGGUCGAGCGAACAGACGAGGAGCUUGCUCCUCUGACGUUAGCGGCGGACGGGUGAGUAACACGUGGAUAACCUACCUAUAAGACUGGGAUAACUUCGGGAAACCGGAGCUAAUACCGGAUAAUAUAUUGAACCGCAUGGUUCAAUAGUGAAAGACGGUUUUGCUGUCACUUAUAGAUGGAUCCGCGCCGCAUUAGCUAGUUGGUAAGGUAACGGCUUACCAAGGCAACGAUGCGUAGCCGACCUGAGAGGGUGAUCGGCCACACUGGAACUGAGACACGGUCCAGACUCCUACGGGAGGCAGCAGUAGGGAAUCUUCCGCAAUGGGCGAAAGCUUGACGGAGCAACGCCGCGUGAGUGAUGAAGGUCUUCGGAUCGUAAAACUCUGUUAUUAGGGAAGAACAAAUGUGUAAGUAACUAUGCACGUCUUGACGGUACCUAAUCAGAAAGCCACGGCUAACUACGU
rnacentral:rRNA from 1 species